rnacentral:rRNA from 1 species
ACUCCUACGGGAGGCAGCAGUGGGGAAUAUUGCACAAUGGGGGAAACCCUGAUGCAGCCAUGCCGCGUGUGUGAAGAAGGCCUUCGGGUUGUAAAGCACUUUCAGUUGUAGGAAAGGUUAGUCGCUAAUAUCGGGCUAGCUGUGACGUUAGCAACAGAAGAAGCACCGGCUAACUCCGUGCCAGCAGCCGCGGUAAUACGGAGGGUGCGAGCGUUAAUCGGAAUUACUGGGCGUAAAGCGCGUGUAGGUGGCUUGUUAAGCCAGAUGUGAAAGCCCCGGGCUCAACCUGGGAACUGCAUUUGGACUGGCAGGCUAGAGUUUUUGUAGAGGGUUGGUAGAAAUUUUCGAGGUGUAGCGGUGAAAUGCAGUAGAGAUCUGAAGGAACACCGGUGGCCGAAGGCGAACCACCUGGCCAAUAACUGACACUGAGACGCGAAGGC